UAAUUAAAAGAGUUUUUUAUCAAAAUAGUCCCUCGACUAUUACGAAAUUAUUAAAUUGGUCCUCGACAAUUUUUAUCUCAAUACACUCC